rnacentral:rRNA from 1 species
GACGAACGCUGGCGGCGUGCCUAACACAUGCAAGUCGAGCGGGGUUGAGGCGAGAGGUAACUCGAGCUUCUACCUAGCGGCGGACGGGUGAGUAACGCGUGGGCAACCUGCCUCAAGGUUUGGGAUAACAGCCCGAAAGGGCUGCUAAUACCGGAUAUGCCUAUGGCCUCGCAUGGGGCUAUGAGCAAAGGGGAAACCCGCCUUGAGAUGGGCCCGCGUCCCAUCAGCUAGUUGGUGAGGUAACAGCUCACCAAGGCGACGACGGGUAGCCGGCCUGAGAGGGUGACCGGCCACACUGGGACUGAGACACGGCCCAGACUCCUACGGGGACG